AACGAACGCUGGCGGCAUGCCUAACACAUGCAAGUCGAACGAGAUCUUCGGAUCUAGUGGCGCACGGGUGCGUAACGCGUGGGAAUCUGCCCUUGGGUUCGGAAUAACAGUGAGAAAUUACUGCUAAUACCGGAUGAUGUCUUCGGACCAAAGAUUUAUUGCCCAGGGAUGAGCCCGCGUAGGAUUAGCUAGUUGGUGGGGUAAUGGCCUACCAAGGCGACGAUCCUUAGCUGGUCUGAGAGGAUGAUCAGCCACACUGGGACUGAGACACGGCCCAGACUCCUACGGGAGGCAGCAGUGGGGAAUAUUGGACAAUGGGCGAAAGCCUGAUCCAGCAAUGCCGCGUGAGUGAUGAAGGCCUUAGGGUUGUAAAGCUCUUUUACCAGGGAUGAUAAUGACAGUACCUGGAGAAUAAGCUCCGGCUAACUCCGUGCCAGCCGCCGCCGUAA
rnacentral:rRNA from 1 species